rnacentral:rRNA from 1 species
GAUGAACGCUGGCGGCGUGCCUAAUACAUGCAAGUCGAGCGAACAGAUGAGGAGCUUGCUCCUCUGACGUUAGCGGCGGACGGGUGAGUAACACGUGGAUAACCUACCUAUAAGACUGGGAUAACUUCGGGAAACCGGAGCUAAUACCGGAUAAUAUAUUGAACCGCAUGGUUCAAUAGUGAAAGACGGUUUUGCUGUCACUUAUAGAUGGAUCCGCGCCGCAUUAGAUAGUUGGUAAGGUAACGGCUUACCAAGGCAACGAUGCGUAGCCGACCUGAGAGGGUGAUCCGCCACACUGGAACUGAGACACGGUCCAGACUCCGACGGGAGGCAGCAGUAGGGAAUCUUCCGCAAUGGGCGAAAGCCUGACGGAGCAACGCCGCGUGAGUGAUGAAGGUCUUCGGAUCGUAAAACUCUGUUAUUAGGGAAGAACAAAUGUGUAAGUGACUAUGCACGUCUUGACGGUACCUAAUCAGAAAGCCACGGCUAACUACGUG